rnacentral:rRNA from 1 species
UACGUAGGGGGCUAGCGUUGUCCGGAUUUAUUGGGCGUAAAGAGCGUGUAGGCGGCCAGGUAGGUCUGCUGUGAAAACUCGAGGCUCAACCUCGAGACGUCGGCGGAAACCAUCUGGCUAGAGUCCGGAAGAGGAGAGUGGAAUUCCUGGUGUAGCGGUGAAAUGCGUUGAUAUCAGAAGGAACGCCGGUGGCGAAAGCGCGCGACUGGACCUUUACUGACGCUGAGGCGCGAAAGCCAGGGGAGCAAACGGG